rnacentral:rRNA from 1 species
GGGUUGUGAGGUUAAGCGACUAAGCGUACACGGUGGAUGCCCUGGCAGUCAGAGGCGAUGAAGGGCGUGCUAAUCUGCGAUAAGCGCCGGUAAGGUGAUAUGAACCGUUAUAACCGGCGAUACCCGAAUGGGGAAACCCAGUGUGAUUCGUCACACUAUCAUUAACUGAAUCCAUAGGUUAAUGAGGCGAACCGGGGGAACUGAAACAUCUAAGUACCCCGAGGAAAAGAAAUCAACCGAGAUUCCCCCAGUAGCGGCGAGCGAACGGGGAGGAGCCCAGAGCCUGAAUCAGCAUGUGUGUUAGUGGAAGCGUCUGGAAAGGCGCGCGAUACAGGGUGACAGCCCCGUACACAAAAGCGCAUGUGCUGUGAGCUCGAUGAGUAGGGCGGGACACGUGGUAUCCUGUCUGAAUAUGGGGGGACCAUCCUCCAAGGCUAAAUACUCCUGACUGACCGAUAGUGAACCAGUACCGUGAGGGAAAGGCGAAAAGAACCCCGGCGAGGGGAGUGAAAAAGAACCUGAAACCGUGUACGUACAAGCAGUGGGAGCACCCUUCGGGGUGUGACUGCGUACCUUUUGUAUAAUGGGUCAGCGACUUAUAUUCUGUAGCAAGGUUAACCGUAUAGGGGAGCCGGAGGGAAACCGAGUCUUAAUUGGGCGUUAAGUUGCAGGGUAUAGACCCGAAACCCGGUGAUCUAGCCAUGGGCAGGUUGAAGGUUGGGUAACACUAACUGGAGGACCGAACCGACUAAUGUUGAAAAAUUAGCGGAUGACCUGUGGCUGGGGGUGAAAGGCCAAUCAAACCGGGAGAUAGCUGGUUCUCCCCGAAAGCUAUUUAGGUAGCGCCUCGUGAAUUCAUCUCCGGGGGUAGAGCACUGUUUCGGCUAGGGGGCCAUCCCGGCUUACCAACCCGAUGCAAACUGCGAAUACCGGAGAAUGUUAUCACGGGAGACACACGGCGGGUGCUAACGUCCGUCGUGAAGAGGGAAACAACCCAGACCGCCAGCUAAGGUCCCAAAGUCAUGGUUAAGUGGGAAACGAUGUGGGAAGGCCCAGACAGCCAGGAUGUUGGCUUAGAAGCAGCCAUCAUUUAAAGAAAGCGUAAUAGCUCACUGGUCGAGUCGGCCUGCGCGGAAGAUGUAACGGGGCUAAACCAUGCACCGAAGCUGCGGCAGCGAACGUAUCACCCAAGACAACUUUACGGAGUUGACGAUUGACGGAGCGAAGCGACGUCAAAGCGUUCAUUAAAGUCGAGUUGGCUUAGGGAUACGUUCGUUGGGUAGGGGAGCGUUCUGUAAGCCUGUGAAGGUGUGUCGUGAGGCAUGCUGGAGGUAUCAGAAGUGCGAAUGCUGACAUAAGUAACGAUAAAGCGGGUGAAAAGCCCGCUCGCCGGAAGACCAAGGGUUCCUGUCCAACGUUAAUCGGGGCAGGGUGAGUCGACCCCUAAGGCGAGGCCGAAAGGCGUAGUCGAUGGGAAACGGGUUAAUAUUCCCGUACUUGGUGUUACUGCGAAGGGGGGACGGAGAAGGCUAUGUUGGCCGGGCGACGGUUGUCCCGGUUUAAGGGUGUAGGUGUGUGUUCCAGGUAAAUCCGGUUCACUUUAACACUGAGGCGUGACGACGAGGCACUACGGUGCUGAAGCAACAAAUGCCCUGCUUCCAGGAAAAGCCUCUAAGCAUCAGGUAACAUCAAAUCGUACCCCAAACCGACACAGGUGGUCAGGUAGAGAAUACCAAGGCGCUUGAGAGAACUCGGGUGAAGGAACUAGGCAAAAUGGUGCCGUAACUUCGGGAGAAGGCACGCUGACACGUAGGUGAAGUGAUUUACUCAUGGAGCUGAAGUCAGUCGAAGAUACCAGCUGGCUGCAACUGUUUAUUAAAAACACAGCACUGUGCAAACACGAAAGUGGACGUAUACGGUGUGACGCCUGCCCGGUGCCGGAAGGUUAAUUGAUGGGGUCAGCGCAAGCGAAGCUCCUGAUCGAAGCCCCGGUAAACGGCGGCCGUAACUAUAACGGUCCUAAGGUAGCGAAAUUCCUUGUCGGGUAAGUUCCGACCUGCACGAAUGGCGUAAUGAUGGCCAGGCUGUCUCCACCCGAGACUCAGUGAAAUUGAACUCGCUGUGAAGAUGCAGUGUACCCGCGGCAAGACGGAAAGACCCCGUGAACCUUUACUAUAGCUUGACACUGAACAUUGAGCCUUGAUGUGUAGGAUAGGUGGGAGGCUUUGAAGUGUGGACGCCAGUCUGCAUGGAGCCGACCUUGAAAUACCACCCUUUAAUGUUUGAUGUUCUAACGUGGACCCGUAAUCCGGGUUGCGGACAGUGUCUGGUGGGUAGUUUGACUGGGGCGGUCUCCUCCUAAAGAGUAACGGAGGAGCACGAAGGUUGGCUAAUCCUGGUCGGACAUCAGGAGGUUAGUGCAAUGGCAUAAGCCAGCUUGACUGCGAGCGUGACGGCGCGAGCAGGUGCGAAAGCAGGUCAUAGUGAUCCGGUGGUUCUGAAUGGAAGGGCCAUCGCUCAACGGAUAAAAGGUACUCCGGGGAUAACAGGCUGAUACCGCCCAAGAGUUCAUAUCGACGGCGGUGUUUGGCACCUCGAUGUCGGCUCAUCACAUCCUGGGGCUGAAGUAGGUCCCAAGGGUAUGGCUGUUCGCCAUUUAAAGUGGUACGCGAGCUGGGUUUAGAACGUCGUGAGACAGUUCGGUCCCUAUCUGCCGUGGGCGCUGGAGAACUGAGGGGGGCUGCUCCUAGUACGAGAGGACCGGAGUGGACGCAUCACUGGUGUUCGGGUUGUCAUGCCAAUGGCACUGCCCGGUAGCUAAAUGCGGAAGAGAUAAGUGCUGAAAGCAUCUAAGCACGAAACUUGCCCCGAGAUGAGUUCUCCCUGAGACUUAGAGUCUCCUGAAGGAACGUUGAAGACGACGACGUUGAUAGGCCGGGUGUGUAAGCGCAGCGAUGCGUUGAGCUAACCGGUACUAAUGAACCGUGAGGCUUAACCUUACAACGCCGAAG